AGAAAAAAGAAUAAUAUUAUGCUAAAAAUGCAAUCUUUUGCAUUUCAAAAGUUAUUUCUUGGUAAUUUAGAAAAAAAAUACGCAGACGGCCAGAAAAUUGCUAUAAAGCUUACUAAGCAGCUGAAUAAAAAUAAUAAGAGUUAGCAAGAUCUGAUCAAGGAGUAUAAUUCUAUAGCUUUAAUUUAUCCCAGCAAGUUUUUACAAAAUGUAGUUGUUUGGGACGAGGUUGGUGAUUUGAAGAGUGUUUUUUGGAAAAAUUAUUGGACACAAAAAAGUUCCGAUUUCGCCAUCCCCGUUAUAAUUAAACGAAAGUGUAUUGAGUUGUUUCAAUUGAACUGUAGAGCUAUCGAAGAAAUCGAAAUGGUUAAAAGCGAAAUGAAAAACGUAAUAAGUUUUAACCAAACUAAAAUAAAUGAAUUUAAGGAAGCUCUCACAUUACUUGAAGAUAAUACUGAAGAUAAUGGGUGGAAAGCAAGAUUACUGAAUGAAAUAGAUGCUUUAAAUUUUAAAACAAAUUGUUUUUCUUAGGCUUUUUAUCCUUAUCUUAAUUCGGAUACUUUAAGUGAAAUAAAGACUCUGUUGUUUAAAGACUUUGAAGAUGAAUUAAGUAGUGAAUCGGAUGAUAGUGAUUUAGAAUUUGAAUAAAUGUUUACCAUUAUAAUAAAACAUACUUUAUUUAUUUUAUAUUAUGUCGGAUGAAUGCAUAACACCGCGGGAGCCAAGCGGUGAUGACCUGCACAGUUUUAUAGCAAUAAAUUAAUUUUUUUUU